rnacentral:rRNA from 1 species
AGCAUAUCAAUAAGCGGAGGAAAAGAAAAUAACAAUGAUUCCCUUAGUAACGGCGAGUGAAGGGGGAUAAGCUCAAAUUUUAAAUCUGGCUAGGUUUUACCUAUCAGAGUUGUAUUUUGAAGAAGCGUUUUCCGCGUCUCGGUUGACCCAAGUCCUUUGGGAUAAGGUAUCAUGGAGGGUGAGAAUCCCGUUCGGUUGACCUUAUGACGUUUUACGAUGCGCUCUCAAAGAGUCGAGUUGUUUGGGAUUGCAGCUCAAAAUGGGAGGUAAAUUUCUCCUAAGGCUAAAUAUCGGCGAGAGACCGAUAGCGAACAAGUACCGUGAGGGAAAGAUGAAAAGAACUUUGAAAAGAGAGUAAAAUAGUACGUGAAAUUGUUGAAAGGGAAACGAUUGAAGUCAGUCGUACCGACGAGAAAUCAGCUCUUCGAGUGCUAACUUGUGGGCGUGCUUGAGUCUGUAACGGGCCUGGCUGUUUGCAAUGUUUUGUGCUUUUUGGGUGUACUUUUUCGUGUGGUAGGCCAACGUCAGUUUCGAUCACCAUAAAAUGAUCGGGUGAAUGUAGCUUCGAUCUCGUAUUGAAGUGUUAUAGCCUUUGGUAGAUGUGGUGACCGAAACUGAGGAUUGCAACGAAUACCCUUUGGGCUAUCCGUCUGACCUCUGAAAGUUGCUUAGGUGCCGAAAGCUUGCUUACGGUUAUUUAAGUUGACGGUCAACAGGUUAGAACGUGAUUACAUUCGUUAAGGACGU